UGUUCGGCACAUUCAUCGAUAGAUCGUCGAGUGAUUAAGUACGUGUAAUUGAGAGAGCUACAGAACAGUUUUAUCGCAUUUUCAGGUCAACAUUUGUUUCCAAUAUGGACGCUUCAUUACUAGAUGUGUCGAAUACUUGUUUGAGUUAUCUUGAUUCACCUGAAAGCUUGUAUUCAAGUCAAGAUGGUAGUGAGAAAGUUGAGGAAAACCGAUUUUUCCCUCAAGACAGCCCAGCAAAUAAUUAUCCAGCAUUAGAUACUGUGAUGGGGGAAUCUAUUAUGUUAUCUAAUUUCCAAGACAACAUUUCACUUGAUGCCUUUUCCAACUCGCCUGGCACACCAAUGAGUACAUCGACUGAUUCCACAGACAUGUCCCUACCAAACAGUCCGUCUUUGGAUUUGCUUGACGAUGACACAGUGCAGUCAAUUGUAUCAAUGUUUGCCAAUGAGGAAGCAACAAGUCCCGUGUCUGUCGGUAACAAACGCCCAUUUGAAGUCUUUGAGAAGUCCUCAAAUACAUCAUCAAAAAAGAUUUGCCUGCAUUCGACUUCAAGCAAUCCUCCAACUCAAAAGAAAUUUGAUUUCACAACAAAAACUACAGACUUCAAGGAGGAAUCAAAGGCAUCUAUUGUAGCCAGCUUAGCAGCAAAGGUAUCUGGAAGUGACAAUUUGAAGCAACGGACAAGUUUAUUGUUACCACCCAGGUUGAAGCAAAAGAAGUUGCCAAACUUGAACUUUUGCCCACCAAGCAAGCAGGACAAUAUUGAGUUGAGUAUAAUUUCUCAGCCAGAGAAGCAGCACAGAGCAAGGUACCUAACAGAAGGUAGCAGAGGUUGUGUCAAAGAUGAAAGCCAGCUUGAUUUCCCAGCUGUAAAGCUGACAGGCUGGUUAGAGCCAGUCACUCUGCAAGUGUUUGUGGGAACAGAUCAACAAAAAGUAAAACCACAUGGAUAUUACCAAGCUUGUAAAGUGUAUGGCAGGACUACAACUCCAUGCAAUGAGGAAGAUGUUGAUGGUACAACAGUAAUUGAAAUUGCUUGGGAACCCAAUAAUGACAAGAUGGAGAUGUUUAUUGAUUGUGUUGGUAUUCUGAAGUUGAGAAACGCAGAUGUUGAAAAGAGAAUAGGUCUUGCAAGGUGCAAGAGGAAAAGCACAAAUGUGAGAUUGGUGUUCCGUGUCAACAUUCCUCAACCGGAUGGAAGCAUCCUGACCCUUCAAACUGCAUCCAGAUCCAUCUCAUGCACUCAGCCACAGGGGCAUCCUGAAAUCUCUAAGAGGAGUUGCAGCUCUUGCUCUGUAAAGGGUGGUGAGGAUCUUUUCAUCAUCGGUAAAAAUUUCCUUAACAAGGUAACGGAGGUAAAAAUUCAGGAAAGACAUCCUAAUGGAACACUGAUAUGGGAAGCAGACUGUGAGGUUGACAAGUCCUUAUUUCAUGGAACUCAUAUCGUGUGCACCAUUCCACCAUAUAAAGAUCAAGAGGUUGAAAAUGAUGUUGAGACAGUAAUGAUGGUAACUACUGGGCCUGGUAAAUGCAGUGAGCUGCAUCCUUUUACUUACACCCCUCGUCCAGAAAGUGAACGGAAGCCACAAACAUUCACUUCAUCUCUGACACAGUCACUGAGUAGUUCAUUAGUGUACGAUAACGAACAAGUACUGAAGAAUAUUUCGGUGAACAGUUCAGUGAACGACCUUACGAGUCUAGUGACUGACAAACUACAGAUGCCCAUCAAUCAACCUGGAUCUCUCACCACAAGCUUAUCGACACCGUCAACGAUUCAGACACCGUUCGAAUUGUCAUUAUUCAUUGCUUCCCAGCAAUAUGUGGACCAACCCAGCCUGACGACCCAGUUACAGAUGAAUGAAGGUAGAUAUAAUUUGUUACUUUGUAAAGGAUAGCUCUGACAUAUGCAGAUGUUGUGUAAAAUUUGAAAGGCCUCUACAUGGUUAUCUAUAAUUAAUGGCUUGACAGCAUUACUCAGAAAUAGAUACCAUGUUCAAGCCUUUUAUGUUUCAACAACUGAAUGUGACUGGGAACCCAUGGCUAUUCCAUUUACCUCUCACGGCGACAUUAUUCUAAAUGCAAUUUCAAACUAAUUGUAGGCUUUAACGGGUACCAACCACAAGUAAAUGAAGGUGAGAAUGAAAGGUUGCCUGAAGGCAUGACAGAUGUAACAAGAAUUGAUGGCAAGAUUGAAACGUUGCCUGAUGGCUUGACAGAUGUAACAAGAUAUCUGGAGAAUAAA
rnacentral:misc_RNA from 1 species